rnacentral:rRNA from 1 species
GUUGUAUGGUUAAGUGACUAAGCGUACACGGUGGAUGCCUUGGCAGUCAGAGGCGAUGAAGGACGUAUUAACUUGCGAUAAGCCCAGAUUAGGCAGUAAAAGCCACUUGAGUCUGGGAUUUCCGAAUGGGGAAACCCAACUGCAUAAGCAGUUACUGUUAACUGAAUACAUAGGUUAACAG